rnacentral:rRNA from 1 species
UGGGGAAUUGUUCGCAAUGGGCGCAAGCCUGACGACGCAACGCCGCGUGGAGGAUGAAGACCUUCGGGUCGUAAACUCCUUUCGAUCGAGACGAAUGGUCUCUGGGUGAACAAUCCGGAGAAGCGACGGUACCGAGAGAAGAAGCCCCGGCUAACUCCGUGCCAGCAGCCGCGGUAAUACGGGGGGGGCAAGCGUUGUUCGGAAUUACUGGGCGUAAAGGGCUCGUAGGCGGCCAACUAAGUCAGACGUGAAAUCCCUCGGCUUAACCGGGGAACUGCGUCUGAUACUGGAUGGCUUGAGAUUGGGAGAGGGAUGCGGAAUUCCAGGUGUGGCGGUGAAAUGCGUAGAUAUCUGGAGGAACACCGGUGGCGAAGGCGACAUCCUGGACCAACACUGACGCUGAGGAGCGAAAGCCAGGGGAGCAAACGGGAUUAGAUACCCCGGUAGUCCUGGCCCUAAACGAUGAAUGCUUGGUGUGGCGGGUAUCGAUCCCUGCCGUGCCGAAGCUAACGCAUUAAGCAUUCCGCCUGGGGAGUACGGUCGCAAGGCUG